rnacentral:lncRNA from 1 species
UGAAAUGUGUACAGCGUAUCAGCCUAGCACGGUAAACAAGGAUUCAAAAUACAGAAGCAGAAACAGAUUUAGUACAAAACAAAUCCAAUUACACAUCAAAAAUCUCAACCAAAACUCUAUUCAUACACAUCAAAAACAAAAAUUCAAUUUUUCAAUAAUAUACAACAACAAACCUAUGAAUGAGGAAAAUACCCUUUUUCCGUGGCGUGGUGGUGUGUUGAUUCUCGUCUCGUCCGCUGUCGCUUGUUGUUAAUGAUCGAGUAUGUUUAAGGUUAAGGUUAUGGGUUGAUGGGAAGAAGUAUGAUGGCAGAUUCUUCUUCUUUGCUC